rnacentral:lncRNA from 1 species
CUUUUUUUUUUUUUUUUUUUUUUUUUUUUUUGCUUUUCAAGGCCACACAUGUGGCAUAUGGAAGUUCCCAGGCUGGGGGUUGAAACAGAGCUGCAGCUGCUGCCUAUGCCACAGCCACAGCAACGCCGGAUCCCCAACCCACUAAGCAAGGCCAGGGAGAGAACUUGCGUCCUCAUGAAAGCUAGUCAGAUUUGUUUCUGCUGUGCCACAACAGGAACUUCCGAUGUUUUCUUAAUUCUCUAAAUACUCUCAAUGAUUAUGAGAAAGGGGGGUUGCUCAUGGUUGAGGAAAGACACCUCCCAGCAAAUGCUCACUAACAUGUGACUUCCUCUGACUUGGAAGAAAGCAGAGUUCUUGGAUCUAUGGAAAUUACUUUGCAAAUGAAAUGGAAAACAGGGCCUUGGGGCCCCGCCAGCCCCACAGCAUGCUCCUAGAGCCCCUCACUCGGAAACACAGUUGCAGCCAGACAGGUAGCACCACCCAUGUAGCUCACAGAGGCUUCUUCUCUAUGAUUCACACGUCACUGUCACAGGGCCACCAUUGGGAUUUUCAGACCAGGAGGCCCUUGUGCUUCAAAAGAGGAAAGGUAUUGACACACCAUCAAACUGAGUCAAUGAUCAGGUGGUCUGGAACCCCUUUAGCCAGGAGUCUAAUGGCACCUGGACAGAACAGGAGGCAGAACAGGCCAGCCUGGAUAGCUGAGAGCAGAUUGAUCCCUCCAGGUCUCCUUCCACCUUGGCGUUGUCUCCCAAAGUACCCUGAACCCCCUCCCGUAGGUUCCAACACACCUUGGCCCCAGUUUUUUUAGAGCAACGCCUGCAACAUAUGGAAGUUCCCAGGCCAGGGGUCAAAUUGGAGCUGCAGCUGGCAGCCUACACCACAGCCAGAGCAAAGCUGGAUCCUUAACCCACUGAUCGAGGCCAGGGAUAGAACCCGCACCCUCAUGGAUACUAAUCGGGUUCUUUACCACUGAACCAUAAGAACGCCCCCAAAUUCCCUUUCUCUUCAUCAGUCUUGUCACCCAAACUUCUAUCCCCUCAAUGGGCAGGAUUCAACUAGUUAUUGAACAGAAAGAAAACGAGCAGAUUCAUUCACUUGACGAUGUGAGGGGCCAACAGACUGACCUCUGCGAAUCACAGGAAAUGGACAAACCAUGAGGAUCAUCUUGGCUCCCGACCCCCAGGAGCCUUUGGGACUCCUGCAUCCCCGGGAGAGGUUGGGAAGGGAACGAGGUUGCUCGAGAUAACUUCCGCCCUCUAGAAAGGAUGCUACUUCCUCGGGCUGCCGCAGUGAGCACCCGCAGGCCCCGAGCCCUGAGGAGAGCCUCGGGGCGGGGCGGGGGGGGGUGGCAAUUACAUCAGCAUAGGACGCCUUUGUUUUGAGCUGAGGCUGGUUUUCCCACAAGCGGACUGAAAUAAAUUAGAGCAUUUUCAACGAGGGCGGUUGAAAGCGGCACUCUUGGAAAAAUCUCAGCAGCUGCUCUUUAUUGGAUUAUAACUAGGAGCAAAACACCCCAAACCACACAAUCGCCUGCAAAGGGUGGGGGGAGAAAAAUCAAAUCAAAUGCAACAUUGUUGUAGGCUCUGGAAAAUGUUUCCCCAGGAAAACCAGCUUGGGAACCUGGUCAAUGUUCUCUAGCUGGGCUGCCCAGGGAGACAGACGCUGCUCCCCGGGGGUCAGACGCAGUUUGUCUACACGCAGGCAGCCAGAGACACCGACAGACAGCCACACACAGGCAGGCUGGAGACAGGGGACAGGCGCCCCAGUGCAGGCUGCCGCCGCAGGGGUGCACAGAGGCCCCAGGAGAAGGGCGGGCCUGCAGGGGCAGCCCAGUCCAGGACCCAGACGUGCCAGGACCUCUCCACCAAGAGGUCUUUACAAAGAGGGGAAACCACCCUGCUUGUGAGCUGAGCAAAUCCCAUCCAGCCGUGAAGCCAGAGGUGGGUACAAUCCCAAAGGAAGCCCGAGGAGGCAUUCAAUUCAUUGUUCAGCAGAGGGCUUGAGAUGGCAAGAGGAAGCACUUGGCUGGGAGACCAGAAAGCUGGGUCAUUCUAACCCUGCCACCACCUAGUUGUAUGGGUUCAAGGAAGUUAUUGGUGAUUCUCCCAUCCUGAGUUCUCUCCUCCAUAAAUAAGAUGGGUAUUAUCAUACUAGCCUCCUUCUUUCCAGGGUGCAAGAGGAGGGGUGUUCAUAAGGCUCAAACACGAAACAGGAGUUCCCGUUGUGGCACAGUGGUUAACGAAUCCGACUAGGAACCAUGAGGUUGCGGGUUCGGUCCCUGCCCUUGCUCAGUGGGUUAACGAUCCGGCGUUGCCAUGAGCUGUGGUGUAGGUUGCAGACGCAGCUUGGAUCCCGAGUUGCUGUGGCUCUGGCAUAGGCUGGCAGCUACAGCUCCGAUUCGACCCCUAGCCUGGGAAACUCCAUAUGCCGCGGGAGCGGCCCAAGAAAUAGCAAAAAGACAGAAAAAAACAAAAAACAAAAAAAAAAAAGAAACAAAAGUGGGGAGUUCCCAUUGCACUCAGUGGGUUAAGAACCCAACUAGUGUCCAUGAGGAUGCAGGUUCGAUCCCUGGCCUUGCUCAGUGGGCUAAGGAUCCAGCCUUGCCAUGAGCUGUGAUUUAGGUCACAGACAGACCUCGGAUCCAGUAUUGCCAUGGCUGUGGUGUAGGCUGACAGCUGCAGCUCUGAUUCAACCCCUACCAUGUCUGUGACCUAACACCAAAGCUCAUGGCAAAGCCAGAUCCCUGACCUACUGAGUGCCAGGGAUCAAACCCGCAUCCUCAUGGACACCAGUCAGAUUCAUUUCCACUGAGCCAUGAUAGGAACUCCACAAAUGCCCUGUAUCUUGACAGGCAGGGGGUGUUCCUUGAGUACGUGCAUUUGUCAACAUUGAUCAAAGUAUAUUUAAGGUCUGUGCAUUCCACUACAUGUAAAUCAUCCCUCAAUUUUUAAAGAUGAGACGCGAAAGGGGAUGAAGAAAGCUACUCCUGCC